UAGUCCACACAGUAAACGAUGGAUACUAGGUGUUGGAUGGUAACGUUCAGCGCCGGAGCAAACGCAUUAAGUAUCCCGCCUGGGGAGUACGAUCGCAAGAUUGAAACUCAAAGGAAUUGACGGGGGCCCGCACAAGCGGUGGAGCAUGUGGUUUAAUUCGAUGCAACGCGAAGAACCUUACCUGGGCUUGAACUGAUACUGCCAUACUGUGAAAGCAGUUAUCCUUCGGGACGUAUUAGAGGUGCUGCAUGGCUGUCGUCAGCUCGUGUCGUGAGAUGUUGGGUUAAGUCCCGCAACGAGCGCAACCCUUACUCUUAGUUGCCAGCACAUAAUGGUGGGAACUCUAAGGGGACUGCCCCGGNUAACGGGGAGGAAGGUGGGGACGACGUCAAGUCAUCAUGGGCCUUACGUCCAGGGGCUACACACGUGCUACAAUGGCCGGUACAACGGGGCAGCUAGACAGCGAUGUUCAGCGAAUCCCUUAAAACCGGGUCU
rnacentral:rRNA from 1 species